UUUAAAGAAAUUCUUUUACAUAUAAUAUAUAUAUAGUUAAU
rnacentral:sRNA from 1 species